rnacentral:rRNA from 2 species
GGUCUGAGAGGAUGAUCCGCCACACUGGGACUGAGACACGGCCCAGACUCCUACGGGAGGCAGCAGUGGGGAAUAUUGGACAAUGGGCGGAAGCCUGAUCCAGCCAUGCCGCGUGUGUGAAGAAGGCCUUUUGGUUGUAAAGCACUUUAAGCGAGGAGGAGGCUACUAAGAUUAAUACUCUUGGAUAGUGGACGUUACUCGCAGAAUAAGCACCGGCUAACUCUGUGCCACCAGCCGCGGUAAUACAGAGGGUGCAAGCGUUAAUCGGAUUUACUGGGCGUAAAGCGUGCCUAGGCGGCUUUUUAAGUCGGAUGUGAAAUCCCCGAGCUUAACUUGGGAAUUGCAUUCGAUACU